CUGUUGGGUAGGGGAGCGUUGUGUAAGCGGAAGAAGGUUCAUCGAGAGGUGGGCUGGACGUAUCACAAGUGCGAAUGCUGACAUAAGUAACGAUAAAACGGGUGAAAAACCCGUUCGCCGGAAGACCAAGGGUUCCUGUCCAACGUUAAUCGGGGCAGGGUGAGUCGGCUCCUAAGGCGAGGCUGAAAAGCGUAGUCGAUGGGAAACAGGUUAAUAUUCCUGUACUUGGUAAAGCUGCGAUGUGGGGACGGAGUAGGUUAGGUUAUCGCACUGUUGGAUAUGUGCGUUUAAGUUGGUAGGUGGGAAGUUUAGGCAAAUCCGGACUUCCUUAACACAGAGAGAUGAUGACGAGGCUCUACGGAGCUGAAGUAACUGAUACCACACUUCCAGGAAAAGCCACUAAGCGA
rnacentral:rRNA from 1 species